CACUCCUGCGGGAGGCAGCAGUGGGGAAUUUUGGACAAUGGGCGAAAGCCUGAUCCAGCAAUGCCGCGUGCAGGAUGAAGGCCUUCGGGUUGUAAACUGCUUUUGUACGGAACGAAAAAGCUCCUUCUAAUACAGGGGGCCCAUGACGGUACCGUAAGAAUAAGCACCGGCUAACUACGUGCCAGCAGCCGCGGUAAUACGUAGGGUGCGAGCGUUAAUCGGAAUUACUGGGCGUAAAGCGUGCGCAGGCGGUUAUGUAAGACAGAUGUGAAAUCCCCGGGCUCAACCUGGGAACUGCAUUUGUGACUGCAUGGCUAGAGUACGGUAGAGGGGGAUGGAAUUCCGCGUGUAGCAGUGAAAUGCGUAGAUAUGCGGAGGAACACCGAUGGCGAAGGCAAUCCCCUGGACCUGUACUGACGCUCAUGCACGAAAGCGUGGGGAGCAAACAGGAUUAGAUACCCUUGUAGUCCCAUG
rnacentral:rRNA from 1 species